CCCUUAGAGUUUGAUCCUGGCUCAGGAUGAACGCUGGCGGCGUGCUUAACACAUGCAAGUCGAGCGAAGCACUUAAGUCUGAUUCUUCGGAUGAAGACUUUUGUGACUGAGCGGCGGACGGGUGAGUAACGCGUGGGUAACCUGCCUCAUACAGGGGGAUAACAGUUAGAAAUGACUGCUAAUACCGCAUAAGACCACGGUACCGCAUGGUACAGUGUGAAAAACUCCGGUGGUGUGAGAUGGAUCCGCGUCUGAUUAGGUAGUUGGUGAGGUAACGGCCCACCAAGCCGACGAUCAGUAGCCGACCUGAGAGGGUGACCGGCCACAUUGGGACUGAGACACGGCCCAAACUCCUACGGGAGGCAGCAGUGGGGAAUAUUGCACAAUGGGCGAAAGCCUGAUGCAGCAACGCCGCGUGAGUGAAGAAGUAUCUCGGUAUGUAAAGCUCUAUCAGCAG
rnacentral:rRNA from 1 species